AGCCGCGUCGAUUAGAUCGGGAUACUCAUCAAUAAUAGCAGAAAACCGAGAUAGCUUACGCAUUCCAAUGGCGGGCCACGCCCCGAAAGGGGUAACCUUGAGUCGGUGGAUUACAAAGGGUGCGAGCGCUCAAAUCAUUUAAUUUCGGAGUUUCAUCACAUCAUCGGCGCGGUUUUUUU
rnacentral:sRNA from 1 species